UAUUUAUGUACUCAAUCUUCAUCAGUUUGAAAUCGGUACCAGAUAUAGCUGAAUCUUCAUUUCUCUGACAGAAAAUUUGAAACUUUUGAAACUGGCACC